UCCCUGGUAGUAUAUCGGUUAGUACACGCGCCUGUCAUACUCUCCUGUACUCUUAUCCGCGCGAAAGCUGGGUUCGACUCCCAGCCAGGGAG